rnacentral:rRNA from 1 species
AUGGCGGCGGUGGAUCUGUCGAAGCUGGUCAAGGAGAAGCGGUUCUGGGCAGCCUCCUUCCUCAUCGCGUGGGCGGCCGCGCUGCAGGGGCACAUGAUGUGGUUGAAGCGGCAGGACGCCUUCAAGGACAAGUUCGGCGACCCCGAAGCCCCCAACAAGGUCACAGAGCAGGGGCACCAGCAGCCGCCGGCCGGCGAGCAGGGGGAGCUCACCGCCGACGCCGAGAUCAGAUAG